AUAUAUAUAUAUAUAUAUAUAUAUAUAAGCUGGUUCGAUAUAAACAUAGGUUCCGAUGUGUUUCGGGCUACUGCAUUUUAUUUAGUUUAAUUUAUCUGGGUUAACUAUUUCAUCGCCUCGGUUUUUCGUUGCCGUCCGAUUUAUGAACUUGUGUUUCGAAUCUCGAUUCAACCGAUCUUUAAUCUCACUCAGAAUCUGAUUUGCAAUCAGAUUCAUAGUCUUUAUCUACCGUGCUAGGGUCGUUAUUAUUAUGAUUUUGCCGUUAUGUUUCGUAUAUUAUCGGUGAUUAAUACUCCUGAGUUAUUUAUUUCGCUUACCGGUUUAAAAUGGCGGCCUCUAGCGGCUGGCUGCUAACCUCUUCUCUCCCUCUCUAACUCGUCAGACGUGGGGUCGGCGGGAGACAGAGGAAUGAGUGUUUAACGAUGAGAGGAUCUGAUGGUUAUUGUAUAGCAUCGUGGGGUCGUUGUGCGCAGGCGUGGCGUAUUUUCGCUUCGCUCUCGUCUGCGCGCGACGCAAGAGAGAGGCGAACGCAAAAAUAUGUCGUGGUUAUUUUUUUAUCCGGGUAGAUAGAAGAAUCUUCCAUUUGUUUUCUAGACGAGUUGCGUGCGUGCGUGCGUGCGUGCGUGCGUGCGUGUUUUAUCGGUCUUGUCCGCUGUUUUGGGAAGGCUCCUGCGUGAUCAAACCUCACCUGUUCCCGCCAGGGGGCGAGAGAGAGGCAUCCGCUAGCUAUAAGACAGCCGGCGUCGACCACCAGCGUUAGGCUUUGUUAUUGGCGAUGUCCUAUCGUCGUCGGCGACGCUAGUGAAACACCCGGAUGUCGUCGGCCAUGUUAACGGUAUGCAAUAACGAUGUUCGGCUGAGCAACUGCUCUAGCAACGGACGCGAAGGGGUUCGGUGGGAUUAAAUUACGCGUGUGUCGCCCUCUGACGAGCACUGUAGCUACUACUAUAUACCCGGGAGCAUUCUGGGUGGGUGGUUUUUUUUGGAGGGGUAUGUUCGGACUUGCCGUGAAGCUGAUGUGUUCUUUGUGACCCGUAAGCUGUUUUCUUUUUUCUAAUUAGGUGGUAUCACGUACUGGCUCUCUUUCUCUCUCUCUCUCUCUCUCUCUCUCUCUCUCUCUCUCUCUCGGUGCAUUACAUUAAAUACUGUAGUUACAAGUGCUUUGCAGAAUUUAAUAAAUCUUUGAAUAUUACAUUCA